UAUAUAAAAUAUGGUGGUGCAGUAUUCUAGUCGGGUCAACCACUUCGAAGGCGGGGUUAAAAUACCGUUAAAGGGCACAUCGAUGAAGUUUCUUGUGAUGGCCUUUGUUGCCCAAACAAGGGUUGUUGCUGGAAGUUAAGGUUUUUGGGCGGUUCGUAACGGCAUACGAAAGGCGACCCAGCUACCGUGGAGACCUGUAUCGGUGAACGUAAAACCGUUUACUGACCGGGGUAAAACCUGUAAUGCGGCGAAAGCUGUGUGCAGAGUAGCCUGCUUUGAGCGGAAACAGCGGAUUAAGGAACCACGCAUAGCGCCGUUGGCCAAUGGCGCAGUGCGAUUGCCUUAUGAAACUUAUUCUGCAAAAGAAGAUAGAAGUGAUUCUGGCCUGUCAAGGAAAUCUUCUAGACUGUUCCGAAAGAGAUAUACCGGGGAUUAUAGUAUGCUCUAAGUGGCAAUCCAGUCCGACCUAAGGUAACUUGGUUUGUCUGCGGCGUAAUAGGAAACUUCCCGUUCGGCGACGACGGGUUUCCGCAGGGGGAAAGCCUACUGGACCUGAAGGCGUAAGGUUUACUCGGUAUAUUGCCACCAUAAUUUUUUUU
rnacentral:sRNA from 1 species